AAAGUUAUUUAUUACCGGGCUUGUUGGAGUAAACUACACACAUUUAUACAGGGGGUUGCAGGAAACAAAUUGAGAUAUACAAUCAUUGACAUGCCUUCCUGUCCAAUUUGUUACGAGGAAACCUCUAACCCACAUUUCUGCGUACCAUGUAGACACAUUUUCUGUUAUAAAUGUAUCUCUGCGUGGAGAAAAAUUACUUGUCCAUUAUGCAGAGGAAAAAUCGCAUCAUACAAACCUGUCAAACUAGCAUCUUCCAAUGAAAAUGAUUUUCCAAACUACGCUGAGAGGAGCAAAUUGUUUGCCACUGUUUUGGUGAUGAUAUUUCUUCUCGUAGAUCUCCAAAGUCCAGUUGGAUUUGUGCGCUGUGUAUUGUAUCCUCCGUGUCGCGACUUAUGUUUGGCUAUGUGGGAAAUCAUUUACACCCUAGCAAUGAUAAUAUUCAUGCCUGUUAAAUGUAUUUAUAGAUCAGUAGUCGAAAUUGUUAUUUAUGAGUUGUAUGAUAUUUUAAUUUUAAUAUGCUACACGCCUGUAAAUAUUGGGAAACAUUUACUUUACCUACCUUUAUUCCUAUAUGAGGGGGUAAAAUUGUACUUUUUUGAAAAUAGUUGGGCUGGACUUUUGCAGAGAGCUGUACACAUUAUUUUCAUUUUAUUAUUUUUAGACUCAGCUUCUCAAACAGAUUUGCUGCAAAUGUUUGAACAAAUCCAAUUAGGAAAAAGAAUGAGAAACACUGUAAGACAUGUUAUUAAACAUUUUAAAGGAAAGGAUACCUAACGAUCAGAACAAACAAUUACAAAAACAUUGAAUCCUUCUAGUUUGUUUGCCUUUUUUACAAUUGUGUUUUAAUUAUAAAACAAUGUGCUAUGAUAAUGUAUAUUCCAUUGAUUUGUAAUCUUAUCAUAAACAGGCGCAACACAC
rnacentral:misc_RNA from 1 species